UAUGCACUUGCUGAAGCAUCCAGUGAUCAAGCUGCCUUUGGGAGUUAUCCUUCAAUCUUCGUUUAAUUAAGAACUCUAAGGGUCCUUCUCCAGGAAGAAAAAAGCUACGAAGGGGACCCUAUUAAAUAUAACCAUUAUCUAGAGGCAGUUGGAAAUAACAGAAAAUAAUGAGUUAGAAGACCCACCCUGGAAAAUUUGGACAUUUGCAAGUAAAG